UACUAAUAAUUAAUAAAUUUUGAAGUAGUAGUAAUUUAUCAAAUUUAACGGAUUUGGCGGCAAGAUAGCUAUUUAGAGGAACCUGCCCUGUAAACGAUGAGCCACGAGUUACCUUACUUUUAUUUGUUAUCAGUUUGUAUACCGCUGUUGUCAGUAAGUUUUAAUAGAAAACUUUCUAUAAUGUUAAAAUCAUUUACUUCAAGUAAAGGUGCAGCUUAUAUAAAAGAUAGAGGUGGGUUACAUUUAUUAGAAUAAAACGGAUAAAGAUUUUGAAAAAUACUUUUGAAGGUGGAUUUAAAUGUAAAGUUAAAAAAAACUUGAUAUAAGCUCUGUCUUGUGUACAC
rnacentral:rRNA from 1 species